GCCGGAGUGGCGAAAUGGCAGACGCGUCAGACUCAAAAUCUGAUAGGGGCAACUCUGUGCCGGUUCAAGUCCGGCCUCCGGCACCA
rnacentral:tRNA from 1 species